rnacentral:rRNA from 1 species
GAUGAACGCUGGCGGCGUGCUUAACACAUGCAAGUCGAACGGAAAGGCUCCUGCUUGCAGGGGUACUCGAGUGGCGAACGGGUGAGUAACACGUGGGUGAUCUGCCCUGCACUUCGGGAUAAGCCUGGGAAACUGGGUCUAAUACCGGAUAGGACCACAUUUUGGAUGGUGUGGUGGAAAGUUUUUCGGUGUGGGAUGAGCUCGCGGCCUAUCAGCUUGUUGGUGGGGUAAUGGCCUACCAAGGCGUCGACGGGUAGCCGGCCUGAGAGGGUGUACGGCCACAUUGGGACUGAGAUACGGCCCAGACUCCGACGGGAGGCAGCAGUGGGGAAUAUUGGACAAUGGGCGCAAGCCUGAUGCAGCGAGGCCGCGUGGGGGAUGACGGCUUUCGGGUUGUAAACUCCUUUCGCUAGGGACGAAGCGUUUUUGUGACGGUACCUGGAGAAGAAGCACCGGCUAACUACGUG